GCCGUGAGGGGCCGUGAGGAGCCGUGCGGGACGGCUGCUCCGGCCGGGCCUCCCGCUCGGCUGUGCUCCACCCCCGCGCAGCCCCGGCACAAGGGCGCCGGCCAGCAUCCCCCCGCAUCUCUUCAGCUCUGGCAGAGCCGCGUGUCUUGCCACUGUCUAAACCCGGAAUAUGCGGCCGUCCCGCCUUCUCCCUCGGUCUCCUUCUUACGAAUGUGCGCAGCAAAAAGCCCGUCUCCCGGGACUCUUCCCCCUUUUUGGUCUUUGCUGGGACAUCCAGCCGUGGGGGGACGCUUUCCCCGGCUCUGCGGCCAAAGGCAGGCGGCCACCCGGCAGCCCGAACUCCUUGAGCGCUGCUGAGAGGGGCCUGGUGUCCUCAGCCAGUCAGCGGAGUGUGGAACCUGUGAAACCUCGAGGUCCAUGGUUCUUUGGUAUGUUGUUAUUCCCUGAAAGUCUUGUUAGGCUGAGCAGGAUGAUCCACAGUAACACUGCAGAGAAGAUCCCAUUCUCACAGAAGAAAAUGGUCCCCACAGGAGAAUGA
rnacentral:lncRNA from 1 species